rnacentral:SRP_RNA from 1 species
GCCGGGUGCGGUGGCGCGCGCCUGUAAUCCAAGUCACUGGGAGGCUGAGGCUGGCGGAGCGUUUGAGCUCAGGAGCUCUGAGCUGCAGUGGACUGUGCCGAUCGGGUGUCCGCGCUAAGUUCGGUAUCGAUAUGGUGCUCCUGGGGGAGCCCGGGACCACCAGGUCGUCUAAGGAGGGGUGCACCGGUCCAGGUCGGAGACGGAGCAGGUCAAAGCCCCCGUGCCGCUCAGUAGUGGGAUCGCGCCCGUGAAUAGACGCUGUAGUUCAGCCUGAGUGAUAUAGCGGGACCCAGUCUUU